rnacentral:sRNA from 1 species
GUUUUUUUUUUUGGUUUUUGCUU